GCACAGGAAGGUGAGGUUUAUGAUAGACAAUUCUCGAGCAACGAGUUUUUCCCAUUAGUCCGUCAGAGUACUCUUCAAAGUUGGCAAAGAAAUUGGACACACAACGAACUUGGACGGUGGCUAUUUUCCAUAGUUCCAAAAGUUUCUGGGCGAGCGUGGUUCAGAGGUGAGGACUUAAGUCGAGGCUUCAUUCGCGUGAUGUCGAGACUUAUGUCUAAUCACUAUUCACUAAACGCACAUUUGUACAGAAUAAACCUUGUCGAUAGCAACUUAUGUAGGUGCGGAGCCGGUUAUGAUGACAUCGAUCACGUAGUUUGGUCCUGCUCGGAAAAUGACGCCUCCAGAGAGCAAUUAUUGGAUACCCUUGUGGCCCGAGGCGACAGUUCCAAUGAUGGAGCUGUGGCGGCUGGUGCCGAACGGAACGGAAUCGGUGACGGUGGACUUUCGACAGCUACUGGGUUUUCCGGUGGUGGCCUCAACCGUGGAGGAUAUUUUUGGCUCGAAUCGGAUUCAGAAGUCGGUUCGGAUGCAGGAAUCGACAGAAUUUCCUGCGAUUGGUGAUGUAUCCGUAGACCACGUGGACGAAUAUGAACCGUACGAAGAAAGGCUGGAGACGUACAUAGUGCCGGUGGUGUUCGCCAUCAUAUUCAUCGUGGGUAUACUGGGAAAUGGCACGCUGGUGAUCAUCUUUCUGCGUCACAGAGCCAUGCGGAACAUUCCGAAUACCUACAUAUUCUCGCUGGCGUUGGCGGACUUGCUGGUGAUUCUCGUGUGCGUUCCGCUGGCAUCGCUCAUCUAUACCCUGGAAUCGUGGCCCUGGGGUGUCACAUUGUGUCGCGUGACCGAGUGCUUCCGCGAAAUCAGCAUCGGCGUUUCGGUGUUCACUUUGACGGCGCUGGCAGCCGAUCGAUACUGUGCCAUCGUCAACCCACUGCGGAAGCUUCAGACUCGCCCAGUGACGGUUAUUGUGGCGGUGCUCAUCUGGCUGCUAGCGAUUGCUUUCGCAAUCCCCUCGGCAGCCAUCUCGGACGUGGUAGUGGUGGAAAUCCCCAACAAAACCAUCGAAUACUGCUCACCAUUCGGACAGCGAACCAACGAUUCCGUUGCUUACUCCAAAUACAAAACCGUGGUGAACUCGGUCAUUUACUACUUCCUUCCGCUGGCCAUUAUCGGAAUCCUGUACAUCCUGAUGGCGUACCGGUUGCACGUCAGCGCCCGAGACAUGCCGGGGGAAAAUGCCGGGCCCCAGAGCAGGUCCCAGGCUCGGGCACGGAGGCACGUGGCUCGAAUGGUGAUUACCUUCGUGGUGGUUUUUAUCAUUUGCUUCCUGCCGCACCACGUGUUCCAGCUGUGGUUCCACCUGAACCCCAACUCCGAGUACGAUUAUGACGACUUUUGGCACAUUCUGCGGAUAACCGGCUUCUGUUUGAGUUUCCUGAACUCGUGCCUCAACCCGGUGGCGCUGUACUGCGUUUCCGGUGUCUUUCGGCAGCACUUUCACCGGUACCUGUGCUGCCGGCAAAUGUCCGUCCAGCGGCGCAUCGGCAUGUCCUCGGUUGGGAACGCUUGCGAAACGAGCUUUGUGUCGACGAUCCGGCGCUCGCAGCACAACCACAGCAUCCGGAAGUCGCUGUCGGUCCACUCGGUCCAGAGCACGAAAAGGUGAGACAGCGUGCGGCUGAUGGUCUACUUCAAGGACGGUCACAACGGUUCGGGACCGGGAGCGGUCGGUAAGCGGGGCGCAACCGCGCGGAAGUAGCUUGGGGUGGUGGCGGGCGCAACGGAAACGGAGAAAUUGUGAUUUCAUGCACAUGAAAGGCAAUUGAUCGCUCAAACUAGGAGAAAUUUCAAUUCGCGUUUAUGUUAGCAGUGAGCACGCAUGUUAGCAAAAAGAAGCGACGAGAUUGGUGCUGUAUGUCUUGUACUAUGAGAUGAAUGUACAGUGAGAUGGAAAACGGAACAGUUUCUCUAUGUGGAUUUGAAAAUUUAAUAAAAUUUCUUGUUUCUCUUUGUAACCAAUGAUAUUAUUUUCGAAUGGCUUAAAUAUAAUUUUAAUCGUUUCGUCCCUCCACCGGAGUGGAUAAACCUUGUACAAAACCAGAGAAAAGUAAAAAAAAACUUUAACGUAAUUGAAGAUUGCGAAUCACGAAGUGUAAAAAAGACAGCGUUCAUUCAUAGGAAAAAAAAUCGAACAGUAUUUUCAUAUAAUAGAGCAAAAAAUUAAUUAUCUGUAUAGCGCUUAUGUGUAUUGAUAAUGUAUAUCAACAGAAGUUUAAAUAACAUUGUCAGAAUGAUAUUCAAAGUAAAAAUAAAAGCACUGUAUUUAAACGAAUUAUAUUUUUAUAAGAUAAGUAAAAUAAACUAAAUCAUAUAAAAUUGUUCUGUGAACGAAAUGUACAACUGUUGAGUGUGGGUUUAAUACUGAUAGAACGGAAAGAACUUCAAUAAUCAUGAUGCAAAUAUUUAUAGGGAAUGGUCAAUUAUAAAAUCUACACGUAGG